rnacentral:lncRNA from 1 species
UUUGAUUAGGAUUUGGUUUAGGAUUAGGAUUAGGAUUUAAUUUACUUUAGGAUUUGAUUUGGAUUAGGAUUUGGUUUGGAUUAGGAUUUGAUUAGGAUUAAGAUUUGAUUAGGAUUUAAGAUUUGGACUAAGAUUUGAUUAAGGUUCUUAAAUUUUUAAUUUUAGUAUUUAAAGUUAUUUUUAUUAUAUUUUUAGGAUUACAUUAUUAUAUAUGCAUUUCUUUAUGGUUAAUUUAUAAUUUCUUCAUGUUU